GUACACACCGCCCGUCACACCAUGGGAGUUGGCKGYACCAGAAGUCGGUSGCUUAACCUUCGGGAGGGCGCYGACCACGGUGUGGUCAAUGACUGGGGUKAAGUCGUAACAAGGUAUUCGUAGGUGAACCUGCAGAAGGAUCA
rnacentral:rRNA from 1 species